GAUGAACGCUAGCUACAGGCUUAACACAUGCAAGUCGAGGGGUAACAUGGCGGGAGCUUGCUCCUGCUGAUGACGACCGGCGCACGGGUGAGUAACGCGUAUCCAACCUGCCCAUGGGUCAGGGAUAACCUUCCGAAAGGGAGCCUAAUACCUGAUGUUGUGAGAAGAAGGCCUCUGAUUUUCACGAAAGACUUCGGUCGCCGAUGGAUGGGGAUGCGUACGAUUAGGCAGCAGGCGGGGUAACGGCCCACCUGGCCAACGAUCGUUAGGGGUUCUGAGAGGAAGGUCCCCCACACUGGUACUGAGACACGGACCAGACUCC
rnacentral:rRNA from 1 species